UGGCUCAGAAGGUAAAGCAUCUGCCUGCAAUGCAGGAAACCCGGGUUUGAUUCCUGG
rnacentral:tRNA from 1 species